GUUUCAGCUGCCGCGGUAAUACGUAGGGUGCGAGCGUUAUCCGGAAUUAUUGGGCGUAAAGAGCUCGUAGGCGGUUUGUCGCGUCUGUCGUGAAAGUCCGGGGCUUAACCCCGGAUCUGCGGUGGGUACGGGCAGACUAGAGUGCAGUAGGGGAGACUGGAAUUCCUGGUGUAGCGGUGGAAUGCGCAGAUAUCAGGAGGAACACCGAUGGCGAAGGCAGGUCUCUGGGCUGUAACUGACGCUGAGGAGCGAAAGCAUGGGGAGCGAACAGGAUUAGAUACCCUGGUAGUCCAUGCCGUAAACGUUGGGCACUAGGUGUGGGGACCAUUCCACGGUUUCCGCGCCGCAGCUAACGCAUUAAGUGCCCCGCCUGGGGAGUACGGCCGCAAGGCUAAAACUCAAAGGAAUUGACGGGGGCCCGCACAAGCGGCGGAGCAUGCGGAUUAAUUCGAUGCAACGCGAAGAACCUUACCAAGGCUUGACAUGUUCUCGAUCGCCGUAGAGAUACGGUUUCCCCUUUGGGGCGGGUUCACAGGUGGUGCAUGGUUGUCGUCAGCUCGUGUCGUGAGAUGUUGGGUUAAGUCCCGCAACGAGCGCAACCCUCGUUCCAUGUUGCCAGCACGUCGUGGUGGGGACUCAUGGGAGACUGCCGGGGUCAACUCGGAGGAAGGUGAGGACGACGUCAAAUCAUCAUGCCCCUUAUGUCUUGGGCUUCACGCAUGCUACAAUGGCCGGUACAAUGGGUUGCGAUACUGUGAGGUGGAGCUAAUCCCAAAAAGCCGGUCUCAGUUCGGAUUGGGGUCUGCAACUCGACCCCAUGAAGUCGGAGUCGCUAGUAAUCGCAGAUCAGCAACGCUGCGGUGAAUACGUUCCCGGGCCUUGUACACACCGCCCGUCAAAC
rnacentral:rRNA from 1 species